rnacentral:rRNA from 1 species
UACGGGGGGAGCAAGCGUUGUUCGGAUUUACUGGGCGUAAAGGGCGCGUAGGCGGCCACCGCAAGUCGACUGUGAAAUCUCCGGGCUUAACCCGGAAAGGUCAGCCGAUACUGCGGGGCUAGAGUGCAGAAGGGGCAACUGGAAUUCUCGGUGCAGCGGUGAAAUGCGUAGAUAUCGGGAGGAACACCUGAGGCGAAGGCGGGCUACUGGGCCGAUACUGACGCUGAUGCGCGAAAGCCAGGGGAGCGAACGGG